GGAGAUGGAAAUUUUUCAGUCUGGUGGAGGAGAGAAACUAUUUGGACAUCACUGCUUGUAAACAAAGGCAUCUAUUCUCCAAAGCUCUGAGCUCUAAGUGCACUGUGUGAGCAAAUGCCCAUGUCUCUGGAGACAACAGCAGUAAAGCUUUUCCACAGUGUUCUGGCAGCAGCACAAGGAUUGCUGGCAAUGAAGUCACCUUCAAAGCUGAGGCAUUCAUGGAACAAAUGCAUUUCUGGAAGCAACUUUUGCAAACUCUACUGGGAGAACAAAAAGAAGUGUACUGAAUAAUUCAGCCUUGAGAGUGAAUUGAGCUUGAGGAGAAUUGCUGAAUUCCCAAGUCUGUGGUUUGUGGUUUUUGUUAUUGACUGCUCACAUGGAUUGAAAAUCCUGUCUCUGCAGUCGGUGGUUUUUAUCUCCCCUUCAGAUUCUGCAGUUUUAUCUGGCUUUCCAUCCCUGAUCACCAGCUCUCUGCUCUUGCAAAUAAACACACGAGAACCAUUGAAGGACCUUCCUGCUUCCAAGGAGAGCCAUAGGUAGCCUGCUACACUAAUAAAUCAGAUUUUAACAUUGGACCUGAAAGUUGAAAAUAGUCCAAAGAAAGUUGAUGGAGUCAUCAUGCUAAGUAUGAGGCACUAUAUUCCUACUAUCCUCCCCUCACAUGCUGGAAUUUCCAAAUUCUUAAGGAAGGUGAAAGUUUGAUAUCAGAAAAGAACCUCCUGAAAAUGGGGUGUCUUAACUCAGCCUGAGAUUUGCUGUUUAUAUUAACAUGCUGAUGGGAGCCAGACAAUAACAAUAGGAGCUGGUCCUGCAUUUUAUGCAUUGGCAGCCAAUAAGUAAAAAACCCCAAGUUAAUAAUAUCAUUUGAGAAUUUCUAAAUGCGUGAAAUACAGAGCCCAUUUUCUGCAAGGUGGAAUGAUGAUGCAAUAUCUGUCACUGAAAGUAGCUUGCCCAGAAAAAUGUUCUAAUUGUAAGAGUCUACCAGUAUUCGGGACUCUGUAUAAAACCUGAACCAUGCUCAUAAUUUCUUAAAGCCACUGAAUAAAGUAAAUGUUAUUACCUCUAAAGCAUUUUUCCCUAGUUCAAAAAGCAGAAUCAUCUGCAGAAAAAAAAAAUAUAGUCUGAAAAUUGUUAUCACACUGUCUAAUUAACUCUUUUUUUUUUUUUUUAAUUAACUCUUAUUGACAAGCUCACUGAGUGGUAGAGUUCAUAUCAGGAAAUAUCUGAGCUCAGUCAUAGUAAGGACUACAGGAAGGCUCUGCUAAUGUAUUUCCACUCAGCUGCUUACAGCUACAA